rnacentral:lncRNA from 1 species
AUUGCAACCCAGGGAGACAUCCUCCCAGUCAAGAUUGAGCUCCCAAGCCAAUCCCGUAUUCUUCUUCAACUCCACCACCAGAAACCCUUCUACCCAACCCUUGAUGGAGUCCUUGUAACCCGUGAAAAUGGAUAACCCUCCGCGAGGGGCAAAGUAAUAAAAUUUUUGGCUCACUUUGACUAGUCUGAAAAAACUGACGAAUAGAUGAACCGUGGGUGUAAAUCCCCAGCUCAGACACGCAGACUCAAAGCAAGACAUGAAAAGAAUGGAGUUAGGGGUUAGCAUCCGAGGG